UACGUAGGCAGCAAGCGUUGUUCGGAAUUACUGGGCGUAAAGGGUGCGUAGGCGGCUUUUUAAGUUUGGUGUGAAAUCUCCCGGCUCAACUGGGAGGGUGCGCCGAAUACUGAGAAGCUAGAGUGUGGGAGAGGAAAGUGGAAUUCCUGGUGUAGCGGUGAAAUGCGUAGAUAUCAGGAGGAAUACCCGUGGCGAAGGCGGCCCCCUGGGCCGAACCUGACGCUGAGGCGCGAAGGCUAGGGGAGCGAACAGG
rnacentral:rRNA from 1 species